rnacentral:rRNA from 1 species
UGGGGAAUAUUGGACAAUGGGCGAAAGCCUGAUCCAGCCAUGCCGCGUGUGUGAAGAAGGUUUUCGGAUUGUAAAGCACUUUAAGUUGGGAGGAAGGGCAGUAAGCGAAUACCUUGCUGUUUUGACGUUACCGACAGAAUAAGCACCGGCUAACUCUGUGCAAUCAGCCGCGGUAAUACAGAGUGUGCAAGCGUUAAUCGGAAUUACUGGGCGUAAAGCGCGCGUAGGUGGUUCGUUAAGUUGAAUGUGAAAGCCCCGGGCUCAACCUGGGAACUGCAUCCAAAACUAUGUAGCUAGAGUAGGGCAGAGGGUGGUGGAAUUUCCUGUGUAGCUGUGAAAUGCGUAGAUAUAGGAAGGAACACCAGUGGCGAAGGCGACCACCUGGGCUCAUACUGACACUGAGGUGCGAAAGCGUGGGGGGCAAACAGG